AGCGGCGGAUGGGUGAGUAACACGUGGGGAACCUGCCCCUAAGUCUGGGAUACCAUUUGGAAACAGGUGCUAAUACCGGAUAAUAAAGCAGAUCGCAUGAUCAGCUUUUGAAAGGCGGCGUAAGCUGUCGCUAAGGGAUGGCCCCGCGGUGCAUUAGCUAGUUGGUAAGGUAACGGCUUACCAAGGCGACGAUGCAUAGCCGAGUUGAGAGACUGAUCGGCCACAUUGGGACUGAGACACGGCCCAAACUCCUACGGGAGGCAGCAGUAGGGAAUCUUCCACAAUGGACGCAAGUCUGAUGGAGCAACGCCGCGUGAGUGAAGAAGGUUUUCGGAUCGUAAAGCUCUGUUGUUGGUGAAGAAGGAUAGAGGUAGUAACUGGCCUUUAUUUGACGGUAAUCAACCAGAAAGUCACGGCUAACUACGUGCCAGCAGCCGCGGUAAUACGUAGGUGGCAAGCGUUGUCCGGAUUUAUUGGGCGUAAAGCGAGCGCAGGCGGAAAAAUAAGUCUAAUGUGAAAGCCCUCGGCUUAACCGAGGAACUGCAUCGGAAACUGUUUUUCUUGAAUGCAGAAGAGGAGAGUGGAACUCCAUGUGUAGCGGUGGAAUGCGUAGAUAUAUGGAAGAACACCAGUGGCGAAGGCGGCUCUCUGGUCUGCAACUGACGCUGAGGCUUGAAAGCAUGGGUAGCGAACAGGAUUAGAUACCCUGGUAGUCCAUGCCGUAAACGAUGAGUGCUAAGUGU
rnacentral:rRNA from 1 species